rnacentral:rRNA from 1 species
AGCGGAGAUAUAUGGAGCUUGCUUUAUAUAACUUAGCAGCGAACGGGUGAGUAACACGUAGAUAAUCUAUCCUAUACUGGGGGAUAGCCCGAUGAAAGUUGGAUUAAUACCGCAUAUAGCUAUAUAGUUGCAUGAUUAUGUAGUGAAAGAUUUAUUGGUAUAGGAGGAGUCUGCGGCACAUUAGCUAGUAGGUGAGGUAAAGGCUUACCUAGGCGACGAUGUGUAGCCGGUCUGAGAGGAUGAACGGCCACAAUGGAACUGAGACACGGUCCAUACUCCUACGGGAGGCAGCAGUGGGGAAUAUUGCACAAUGGGGGAAACCCUGAUGCAGCAACGCCGCGUGAGUGAAGAAGGUUUUCGGAUUGUAAAGCUCUGUUAGCAGGGAAGAGGAAGGACGGUACCUGCAGAGGAAGCCACGGCUAACUACGUGCCAGCAGCCGCGGUAAUACGUAGGUGGCAAGCGUUGUUCGGAAUAACUGGGCGUAAAGGAUGCGUAGGCGGUUAAACAAGUUAUAUGUUAAAUAUAUAGGCUUAACCUGUAGAAAGCAUAUAAAACUGUUUAACUAGAGUGCAGGAGAGGUAAGUGGAAUUCCUAGUGUAGCGGUGAAAUGCGUAGAGAUUAGGAAGAACACCAGUGGCGAAGGCGACUUACUGGACUGUAACUGACGCUGAGGCAUGAGAGCAUGGGGAGCAAACAGGAUUAGAUACCCUGGUAGUCCAUGCUGUAAACGAUGGGUACUAGGUGUGGGUUGUGAAUAACAAUUCGUGC